UGUAGGAAGGAGUGGAAGACACGCUUUAUAUUGCUGGGGAUGGGGAAUAUCUAUCACAGGAUGUUGAUCCCGAGAUGCCGAGCUGUUCAAUCAUAUCGCACCGAAAUCCUUGACUGGGGAUAAUCAGAUCACACCUACAAGUUAAUUUGGUAAGCGUUCGUUUUCAUUGAAAGCUAGUUUCUUUCUCUGUGAUAGACACUGGACGAAGGAUUCGUUGGUCCUCUGGCGCUGGAGCUCGAACUUUUGCCAUGGACGAAUCCAGAGAAGGAGAAAUCUAUAAAACGACCGAAUUUGUAGUCAAUUUCAAGCACUUCCAUUCUUUCUGCUCUCCA